ensembl:lncRNA novel transcript, antisense to USP51
GGAGAUCCAGCGGACCCCAGAGCCGGAGGGCAAAGAAGUUUCUCGAACCUGGGCCAUCAGAUCACUCCCCGACCUGAGGAGCAAGGCGUCUGGAAAACAGCUGCGACUGUAGAUGAAAGGAGACAGAGACUUCUGUGAAUGAUCUGCCCAGCGUCAUGGCCGCGGUGCGCAGUUAGCGCCCCCAGGACCCCUCCCAUCGGCCCUUGAGCUCAGCCCGCGGCUUCUGUCGGCUCCACCCACUCAACUGAGAGGCCCCUGGAGCUGAUGGGGAGACCGAGGCGGUUACCUGCUUCAAAGGCGAUCAGAUCAUGCCAGGGGACUGGGAACAGAAGGCUAGCGAGCGGUGGGGGUGGGGAACGGCCUGAGCUUUAGGACAGAAAGGAUGGAAACUUCUUUAAAAAAGGCGCCACCCUCUGACUGCUUUUUUGCGCCCUGCGCAGCCUCGCUUUGGUGCAGCUUCCUCUGACGUUCUUUCCCUGUAUCCUAAAAAACACUUGGGUCAACAUUUUCUCUCCAAAAUGGCUGAAAGGACGCACUUUUGGAAAAUGAACUCACAGGAAGAAAGUGUCCCUCUGUUUCUACCUAACCUAUACUUCUGUGACCCGGUGUGUUCCACUCUAAGCCGUUGCCCCUCAGCGCACUUUCGGUCCACCCAGCUCUUGCGCCCUCUCACGCUUUUUCGCGCUUGUGCUCUCACACCCCUUUUCUUGCUUCUGCGACUUCAAUUCCUAUGAUUUCUCCUAGAAUUCGGAUUACUACUCCCUCCCUUCACGCAUUUGCCACCUCUAUGGCCACCACUAUCCUCGCGCGACCCCCGAAGUCUCCGCUCCCUUUUCCCUCUCCUGCCCCCGCAACACCCCCAGCCCGGCAGUUUGUUUAAAGGUCUGGGUUACCUUGGGCCCCAGGCGCGUGAUAUAGAACGUCAGCAACUGCUGCUGUCCAGGCGCUCCUCAGCCAGCCUUCUCUCCUGACCUCUCCUCAGGGCUGGUCACAAGGGGGCCGCCCCCUGGCCCCUCCCCUCUCGACGUGCGGCCCCCAACCCCGGAUUCUGCCCUCCUGCAGUGAUGAAUGGCACCGCUGUCCCGCGCAGGCAGGCAAACCUCUUCCUGAAACAGACUCUGCUGGAGGCAACAGCAGCAACAGAUUCUACAGAAAGCCCCUGAAAUGGAGGCUCAGGCCUCACCUAGCUCCAGGCCCGCACUCCACAGAAAAAAAGAUUCACCCGGCGUGGGGGUGGGGGCUUCCAGAGAUGGCAACCCUCUGGCAGGAAUCCCUCAGGAUCCUGUCAGAGCCUGGUCUCUGGGAGUUGACGGAGGGAGGGAGGGAGAGAGAGAGAGAGAAAGAGAGAGAGAUUAUCCCAGAAUGUGCAGGGGAGGAAGCAUAAGCAAGGGCUCAGGCUCAGAGAGACCUGAGCCCAGGCACAUGCUUGCUGUGUGACCUCGGAUAAAACACUUAACUUCUCUGAGCCUUAGUUGUGUCAAUUUUUAAAGAGAAAUUGAAAUAAUAACCCUAGCCCAAUGUGAACACUGAGUCAUAGUAUAUAUCAAGUAAAAGACCUUUUUGGCGA